GGUUAUGCAUGGCCCAACGGGAAAACAAUAAACUUGUAGUUAAAGGAUCAGCAACUGUACCUGACGUCGAAACUACUUUGAAGAGGCGUUCCAGCCGAUGGAGUUUCCCGCCCAUCCACCAACUUCCAUUUAAUGCAGUAUAAAGCGAAAUAAACCCGGCCUUUUGUCAUUCAAGAAUUACAGUGUAUGGCCGAAAGCAACAGCUUCCGUGUAUGAAGUUGGUAAGACAUUGAAGAGCAUUUAAUCCCAGGAAGUUGUUCAGACAUUGAAGAGCAUUUAAUCCCCAGGA
rnacentral:sRNA from 1 species